ACAAGCUCGCCUCUACGGGUCU
rnacentral:miRNA from 1 species